GUUUCCAUAGUGUAGUGGUUAUCACGUUUGUUUUACACGCAAAAGGUCCCCCAGUUCGAAACUGGGUGCAAACA